GCAAGUCGUGGGGCAGCGCAGUGUAGCAAUACAUGGGCGGCGACCGGCAAACGGGUGCGGAACACGUACACAACCUUCCUUUAAGUGGGGAAUAGCCCGGGGAAACCCGGAUUAAUACCCCGUAAUAUAGUGGAGUGGCAUCACUUUACUAUUAUAGCUACGGCGCUUGAAGAUGGGUGUGCGGCUGAUUAGGCAGUUGGCGGGGUAACGGCCCACCAAACCUACGAUCAGUAACUGGUGUGAGAGCACGACCAGUCACACGGGCACUGAGACACGGGCCCGACUCCUACGGGAGGCAGCAGUAAGGAAUAUUGGUCAAUGGACGCAAGUCUGAACCAGCCAUGCCGCGUGGAGGAUGAAGGUCCUCUGGAUUGUAAACUUCUUUUAUCUGGGAAGAAACCGGACUUUUCUAAGGCCGUUGACGGUACCAGAUGAAUAAGCACCGGCUAACUCCGUGCCAGCAGCCGCGGUAAUACGGAGGGUGCAAGCGUUAUCCGGAUUCACUGGGUUUAAAGGGUGCGUAGGGUGGGUUGGUAAGUCAGUUGGUGAAAUCUCCAGGCUUAACUUGGAAACUGCCAUUGAUACUAUUAAUCCUGAAUACCGUGGAGGUCAGCGGAAUAUGUCAUGUAGCGGUGAAAUGCUUAGAUAUGACAUAGAACACCAAUUGCGAAGGCAGCUGGCUACACGAAUAUUGACACUGAUGCACGAAAGCGUGGGGAUCAAACAGGAUUAGAUACCCUGGUAGUCCACGCCCUAAACGAUGGAUACUCGACAUACGCGAUAUACUGUGUGUGUCUGAGCGAAAGCAUUAAGUAUC
rnacentral:rRNA from 1 species